CCUACGGGCGGCAGCAGUGGGGAAUAUUGGGCAAUGGGCGCAAGCCUGACCCAGCAACGCCGCGUGAAGGAAGAAGGCUUUCGGGUUGUAAACUUCUUUUCUCAGGGACGAAGAAAGUGACGGUACCUGAGGAAUAAGCCACGGCUAACUACGUGCCAGCAGCCGCGGUAAGACGUAGGUGGCAAGCGUUAUCCGGAUGUACUGGGUGUAAAGGGCGUGUAGGCGGGACUGCAAGUCAGAUGUGAAAACCACGGGCUCAACCUGUGGCCUGCAUUUGAAACUGUAGUUCUUGAGUACUGGAGAGGCAGACGGAAUGCGCGGUGUAGCGGUGAAAUGCGUAGAUAUUAGGAGGAACACCAGUGGCGAAGGCGGUCUGCUGGACAGCAACUGACGCUGAGGCGCGAAAGCGUGGGGAGCAAACAGGAUUAGAUACCCGAGUAGUC
rnacentral:rRNA from 1 species